rnacentral:rRNA from 1 species
AUAGACGGCCGCGUGAACGCGCUAAAAGCGGACAGAGGACCCUUAACUCUGUUUCUAUAACGUCUCUUCUGAGUAAAACAAGCAAUAAAUUAAAACUUUCAACAUCGGAUCUCUUGGCUCUGGCCCGCUCAAGAACGCUCGCGAAAUGCGACUAGUAAUGUGAAUUGCACAAUUCCGUGAAUCAUCCAAUCUUUGAACGCACUUGCGCCCGCCUGUAUUCUGGCGGGCAUGCCUGUUCGAGCGUCAUUACACCCUCAGGCCCCCGGGCCUGGCGUUGGGGAUCGGCGGAGCCUCUCUGUGGGCACCGCCGUCCCCCCAAUACAGUGGCGGUCCCGCCGCAUCUUCCAUCGCGUACUAGCUACCCCCUCCCCCACUGGAGAGCGGCGCGGCCACGCCGUAAAACACCCAACUCUUCUGAAGUUGACCUCGUAUCAAGUAGGAAUACCCGCUGAACUUAGCAUAUCAUAAGCGGAGGAAUU